rnacentral:rRNA from 1 species
AGCGAACGCUGGCGGCAGGCCUAACACAUGCAAGUCGAGCGGUCGUAGCAAUACGGCAGCGGCAGACGGGAGAGUAACACGUGGGGACGUGCCCUUCAGUUCGGAACAACCCAGGGAAACUUGGGCUAAUACCGGAUACGCCCCUACGGGGAAAGAUUUAUCGCUGAAGGAGCGGCCCGCGUCUGAUUAGCUUGUUGGUGAGGUAAUGGCUCACCAAGGCGACGAUCAGUAGCUGGUCUGAGAGGAUGAUCAGCCUCACUGGGACUGAGACACGGCCCAGACUCCUACGGGAGGCAGCAGUGGGGAAUAUUGGACAAUGGGCGCAAGCCUGAUCCAGCCAUGCCGCGUGGGUGAUGAAGGCCCUAGGGUUGUAAAGCCCUUUCGGCGGGGAAGAUAAUGACGGUACCCGCAGAAGAAGCCCCGGCUAACUUCGUGCCAGCCGCCGCGGUAAUAC